rnacentral:lncRNA from 1 species
ACACUUCCAUAAGACAUCUGACAUUUGCACAGGGCUUCAUAAGGUCCAAAGUACUUUCGUUGUCUGUGGUUUAAUCUCACAAAACCCAUAGUCCUUUGUGAGCAAAUGCAAGGCAGUGUCUUACUGACCAGAAAACCACCCUGGAUUAACAAAAGAAUGCCUCCUUUCCUCUUCACUUUCUGAGCAACUGGGGCCCUGCUCUGGCAGCAGAAUGUUCUCUUUUUUAUUUUUUGUAGAGAUGGGAUCUCACUGUGCUGCCCAGGCUGGUCUUGAACUCCUGGCCUCAAGUGAUCCUCCUGCUCUGGACUCCGAGAGUCCUGGGAUCACAAGUCUGAGCCACUGCAGCUGGCCCAGAACGUUCUUCUGAAACAAUUAUAAAUUUGUUUCAAAAUACACUAGGCCUUUCGGGUCAGGCUGUACUACUUUUCAUAGGUUAGGUCAGCCCUAACUCGUCCACACCAACUUGUAUCUGAGUUUUCCAUAGCCACUUUUUUUUUUUUUUUUCUUUGAGAUGGAGUCUCACUCUAUCGCCCAGGCUGGAGUGCAGUGGCACCAGGUCGGCUCACUGCAACCUCCGUCUCUUGGAUUCAAG